rnacentral:lncRNA from 1 species
GGGAGGGCCUGGGUGGGGGAUCAGGCCCCUGCCAUCACCUUGGCCCCACUCCCAGGUGCUACACAAUGUGGCGUCGGCACAGUGCCAGCUGGGGCUCUGGACAGAGGCGGCCAGCAGCCUAAGGGAGGCCAUGUCCAAGUGGCCGGAGGGGUCCCUGAAUGGCCUGGACUCAGCCCUGGACCAAGUGCAGGUGGUGGCCUCUGCCAUCCCCGACGACCAGGGCUGGGGCGUCCGCCCUCAGCAGCCACAGGGACCAGGAGCGAACCAUGAUGCCAGGUCCCUAAUCAUGGACUCCCCAAGAGCUGGCACCCACCAGGGCCCCCUAGAUGCAGAGACAGAGGUCGGUGCUGACCGCUGCACGUCGACUGCCUACCAGGAGCAGAGGCCCCAGGUGGAGCAAGUUGGCAAACAGGCUCCUCUCUCCCCAGGUAUGGGGGUCCUCAGCGGCGGGGUCCCCGGGUGAAGGAGGAAGCUGCUGGUGCAUGGGUGCCGGCUGCCCUCCACCCACAGGGCCCACUUUGGUGGUAGUGGCUGUGUCAGUCUUGCUCUGUCCUACAGGGCUGCUGGCAAUGGGGGGGCCUGGCCCCGGCCCCUGUGAGGACCCCGCGGGUGCUGGGGUAAGAGGCUCUAGACCCUUCACCUGUCAGUCACCUGAGGGAGGCUGAGGCCAAGCCCCAUCCCUCAGAAUCAAGGCUUGCAAGCCCCCCUCACCUGCCCAGUCUCUGUCCACACCCCUCGGGCUGAAGACGGCCCUGACCAGGCCCUGGGCCUCAGCGACCACCCCUCCCCCUCCUGCCUGGAUCCAGGGAGCAGGUGCAGGGGGCUCCGAGCCCCUGGUGACUGUCACCGUGCAGUGCGCCUUCACGGUGGCCCUGAGGGCACGAAGAGGAGCCGACCUGUCCAGCCUGCGGGCACUGCUGGGCCAAGCCCUCCCUCACCAGGCCCAGCUUGGGCAACUCAGGUGGGCCAGAAAGCCCCUGGUGGCUGCGGUGGA